rnacentral:rRNA from 1 species
GAUGAACGCUGGCGGCGUGCCUAAUACAUGCAAGUCGAGCGAACGGACGAGAAGCUUGCUUCUCUGAUGUUAGCAGCGGACGGGUGAGUAACACGUGGAUAACCUACCUAUAAGACUGGGAUAACUUCGGGAAACCGGAGCUAAUACCGGAUGAUAUUUUGAACCGCAUGGUUCAAAAGUGAAAGACGGUCUUGCUGUCACUUAUAGAUGGAUCCGCGCUGCAUUAGCUAGUUGGUAAGGUAACGGCUUACCAAGGCAACGAUGCAUAGCCGACCUGAGAGGGUGAUCGGCCACACUGGAACUGAGACACGGUCCAGACUCCUACGGGAGGCAGCAGUAGGGAAUCUUCCGCAAUGGGCGAAAGCCUGACGGAGCAACGCCGCGUGAGUGAUGAAGGUCUUCGGAUCGUAAAACUCUGUUAUUAGGGAAGAACAUAUGUGUAAGUAACUGUGCACAUCUUGACGGUACCUAAUCAGAAAGCCACGGCUAACAACGUG